rnacentral:lncRNA from 1 species
CCCUACCCCACGCGGUCAGUGGCACCAUUGUUGCCCCCCAAUGCUCUCCUCCCCUACCCCACGCCAGGGGAGGAGGCCCUAUUCCUCUCACUUCUGUCCCAAUCCCCAGAGGCAGGCCCAGCUCCAGUCCCAGGCUGUCAGAUGCCCAGCAUCUAGGCAUCUGUGGACCUUGGGAAAAGGCCACCUCGGCCGCCCGGGAGUCCCGCCCGCCCUGGCAUCGAGUCCAGUCGCCUGACAGACCGACCACUGGAGACUCUUGGCCCCACUUAACAGAGAUAGACAGCUGGAGGGCCUGGGGUCUGAGCCUGGUCAGGCGCCUGCGCCCUCACGAGGGCCCCCUUCCCUGCCCCUCUACGCUCAGGCCUGGAGCCGGCUCUAAAAAUAGACCAAGGCGCAGGAACGUGCCCACCCAGGAGGGGUCUGGGAGGCUGAGUCACCCUGCCGGGAGGGCCUCCCCGCAUCUCCGGGAGCCGAGGCCGCCUUGACUGCUGCAUCACUCUGACUCUGCUGGCCCGAGUCUGCGCUCUUGGCCAUGCUGAGCGGGCCAGGCGAUGGCGGCCCAGGCCGGGCAAGCGGUAGCAGCUACAGCCGGGAAGGAUUAGGAGGGCCUGGUCCUGAUUUAUUUGGUUGUUUUUGUGCGUCUGGCGGCGCUGUCCCCCGCUCCUCCUCCCCCUGGAGGGACAGUCACGUCGACACCUGCCCUUCUCUCCCGCCCUGGCCCACGGGGUUGUUCUAGGCUUCUGGGUGGGGACCUGGGCUUGGAGCAGCAAAAAGUCCCAACUUGAAUCUUAGAGGUUCUGGAGCUGGCAUCCCCAUUCUACAGUUGAGGAAACUGAGUCCUAAAAAGAGGAAGGGGCAUAUCACACAGCAGAGUGUGCUGGAAUAGCCCUGGAUCAAAUCCCAGCUCUGCCUCAUAGCAAACCAUUUCUUAGGGCCUGUUUCCUUACUGUAAAGUCUCAAGUUGGGGAUGACACCCAUUCACCUGUAAAAUGGGAAUACUGAUAGAUACUCAGGAUUGUCCUGAUGAUUAAAAGUAUUUUCCAAAAAGCAGCAGUGGCAUCUUGGGAGUUACACACACCUGGGUUCAAUCCCAGCUCAGCACGUUAGUUACCAUCUCUGGCACCUGUUCUUCUCCCCUCCUGGAUAUGCAGAGAAGGAUUAAUGGGCGUGGUGUGGUGAGCUCCCCUCCCUGGAGCGGCUUCACUAAGGCGGCGUGGGGCAUGGUCACGGGGUGCUUGGGUGGAUGUGGAACACCAGGUAAACUGUAAGGUGUGUUCUGGGCCUGAGUAGGGGGACGAGUGUCAGCAUCCUGGGCUUUGCACAGGGCUGGCUCCCCUCGCCCUGUUAUCUGUUUUGAGGAGGGGGCAUGUUUGGGUCAUUACAUUACAGACCCUCAGACUUGGGGAAUGGAAGGGGCUCAAAAGUCCCCAGGUUCAGCAUUCCCCUGUUGCCGAAGGGCAGGGACCAUCCUCAAGCCAAAUAAUGCAUCAAGGCAGACCCCGCCCUUGAACCUGGUCCCCAGUCCCAGGCCCUUUUCCCCCACCAUCCAGACUCCAGGAUCAGGCCUUUUCUGGUCAAGGCUGACAAUACUCCAGUUGGUUUUAUUUCUUUACGUAUUAUUUAUUUAGACCACUUCGCGGAAAAAGAAAACCUGUCGCAUCUGUCAGAAAUGUCAUUGACCUCUCAGAGUUACAUGAAAUCAGCUAUGUAAAUAGUGAAGGGGGCAGGGGGGACUGUCAGGGAUGAAUAUGGGUAUGAGGUGUAGGACAAGACUUCCUGGAAGAUUACUAGCCCUCCCAAAUAAUAAUAAAUGUUAAUAAUGAACAUUUUUGAGUGUUUCUCAUGGGCUUGGCUUAGUUUCGCGCAUUAUCUCAUUUAAUUCUCCCUCAAAUUUCAUGUGGUUAGGUGUUAUUAUGAUCACCCCAUUUUACAGAUAUGAAACUAAAGGCUCAGAGAGGUGAGGGCAUUAGCCUAAGAGAACAAAGCCAAGAAGGAGCAGAGCCAGGAUGAAACCCUCUCUGAUCUUUGAUUUAUU